rnacentral:rRNA from 1 species
GACGAACGCUGGCGGCGUGCUUAACACAUGCAAGUCGAACGGAAAGGCCCUGCUUUUGUGGGGUGCUCGAGUGGCGAACGGGUGAGUAACACGUGAGUAACCUGCCCUUGACUUUGGGAUAACUUCAGGAAACUGGGGCUAAUACCGGAUAUGAGCUCCUGCUGCAUGGUGGGGGUUGGAAAGUUUCGGCGGUUGGGGAUGGACUCGCGGCUUAUCAGCUUGUUGGUGUGGUAGUGGCUUACCAAGGCUUUGACGGGUAGCCGGCCUGGGAGGGUUACCGGCCACAUUGGGACUGAGAGACGGACCAGACUCCUACGGGAGGCAGCAGUGGGGAAUAUUGCAAAAUGGGCGGAAGCCUGAUGCAGCAACGCCGCGUGCGGGAUGACGGCCUUCGGGUUGUAAACCGCUUUCGCCUGUGACGAAGCGUGAGUGACGGUAAUGGGUAAAGAAGCACCGGCUAACUACGUG